GCCCAUAACCUAAUUCUCUCUGUGCCUCCAAACCUUGCAGGGAAGAUGCCAGUAAUUUUCCAGAUUUGUCCCCUGCCUCCACAGUUCAGCCAACACCACCUGCUGCCGUGUCACUGAGGGGCCACAGCCACCAAAAAGGAGCUGAUGCAAAAUCUUCUCCUUUCUCCAAUGCCAAACAGGAUUGAGGAGAGGGUAACUCACUUUCAGGACAUGUCAAGAAGUCCAUGAGAAAAAGCACUCCAUGUGAUGUGAUCAAUUAACAAAAUACCCACCUAUAAUUACAUUUAAUUAUGAAGAAAAUAAAUCAUAC
rnacentral:lncRNA from 1 species